UACGGGGGGGGCGAGCGUUGUUCGGAAUUACUGGGCGUAAAGGGCGCGUAGGCGGCCUGGGAAGUCUUGGGUGAAAGCCCCCGGCUCAACCGGGGAAGGGCCUGAGAAACCACUGGGCUGGAGUGCUGGAGAGGAAAGCAGAAUUCCUGGUGUAGCGGUGAAAUGCGUAGAGAUCAGGAGGAAUACCUGCGGCGAAGGCGGCUUUCUGGACAGACACUGACGCUGAGGCGCGAAAGCCAGGGGAGCAAACAGG
rnacentral:rRNA from 1 species